UACAGAGGGGGCAAGCGUUGUUCGGAAUUACUGGGCGUAAAGCGCACGUAGGCGGCUUUGUAAGUUAGAGGUGAAAGCCCGGGGCUCAACUCCGGAAUUGCCUUUAAGACUGCAUCGCUAGAAUUGUGGAGAGGUAAGUGGAAUUCCGAGUGUAGAGGUGAAAUUCGUAGAUAUUCGGAAGAACACCAGUGGCGAAGGCGACUUACUGGACACAUAUUGACGCUGAGGUGCGAAAGCGUGGGGAGCAAACAGG
rnacentral:rRNA from 1 species